rnacentral:rRNA from 1 species
UACGGGGGGAGCAAGCGUUGUUCGGAUUUACUGGGCGUAAAGGGCGCGUAGGCGGCGUGACAAGUCACUUGUGAAAUCUCCGGGCUUAACCCGGAGCGGCCAAGUGAUACUGUCGUGCUAGAGUGCGGAAGGGGCUACUGGAAUUCUCGGUGUAGCGGUGAAAUGCGUAGAUAUCGAGAGGAACACCUGCGGCGAAGGCGGGUAGCUGGGCCGACACUGACGCUGAGGCGCGAAAGUGUGGGGAGCGAACAGG